CCCUUGCGCAUCCCAGUGUCUCCUUCAAAAUUGUUUAUAUCGAAAUGUCUGUAUUUGAUAACUUAAGGAUAUUUCCUGUCUGGUUUCUUAGAUUUUGUUCAUUUGCAUGCAGUGAGGAUGACCUGCUUUGCACACGUGCUUCUCCUUCUCCCUGCCUUUGUUGUCCAGUGGGUUUGGGAUUCAGCUGAGUUCCCUUAACAAAUUGAAUGCAAGCAUUGGUGCAUUCAAGCUUUCAGGAUACAUCUCAGGUCCUGAUGCUGUGAAGAUUGAAAGUUCAAUUCAGUCAAAUUGAUGGAUCCAUUGCUCAUUGCACUGUUGGUGUACACUGGAAAUCCAGAAGCUAUGUGCGACCCCUUUCAUAAAAUGCCAGAAACUAGAGCUGUAAGGAGACUGCAGCAUUCUGCAAAAGCUAUCUGCUCAGAGCUUCCACGGCAGUAGUCCCAUCAGUGUGAUCAAUCUUCCACCCAAAGUUGUGGUGACGGUGUAUUCUCUGAUGAAGGCCAAGUGUGGAAAUGGAACUUCUUAACAUCUAGAAUAGCAAAUUACAAACUCAAGGGGAGUGCACAAGUACACGCAAUGGGGAGUCAAAAGAAGCAUGCUGCAGAUGAGAGAAUUAAUUUCAAAGAACUGCGUGAGAAGGUCAUGGUUGUCUAAAAAUUCAUUGAUGUGUCAUUUCAACUUGGAGUCUAUAACUUAGUGAAUUAUCAGGUCCUAUCUGGAGUUCUGGACAAAAGAGGAGAACAACCUAUCUUGAUUCCAAGCAAGAGUUGGUCAUGCUUGAACCAAAUUCAGAACUGGGGUUAAAUCUGCAACAUCCAUUCUCAAGCUUCAGGAUCAUUUACCAGGAACUUAAUCUGAUUCACAAGCAUCCAACAUCUGUCACACUUCUUGCGAAUUUGCAUCGACAAAACUCAGUUUCUUAUAUUCUGGGCUAAAAUGGAGGGACUUCUGUCCAAAGAUUACAAUUGAAGCGGUACUGGAACACAGAAUCAUAAGCAUCGGGAUACUUCACUCAAUGUCACUUCUGGUGUCUUGCAUUUUGUUGGUGCUUCCAUUGGUUCCUGAUACCAUAGAUUAAAACUGACUGGAGAGUGCCAAAGUUCUCCAACAGAUUGAUAUGAAGUUUAUUCCGAUUGUGGCGAACACAACACCUGCUAUGAUUGAUGAGCGAAUUUGUUUUGAAGAACUGCGUGAGAAGGUCCUAUCUGGACAAACGAGGACAACAACCCAUCUUGAUUCCGAGCAAGAAUUGCUACAUUGAUUUUGCUAAUAGGUCAUGCCUGAAAUUGGUUACCAAUUACUACACAACUAUGCUCACCAAAUUCAAAACUAGGGUUGGAUUUGCAACAUUCAUUCACAAGUUUCAAGAUCAUUUACAAGGAACUUCAAUCUGAUUCACAAGCAACCAACAUCUGUCACGCUUCUUGCGGUGCAAUUAUGUUUGGAGAUGCAUUGUUGCCUUCAGAAUGUUCUCUCAUUAUUGAGGAGUUGAAGCAGACUUCUUUGUGUUUUCAACGACAUCAAAAUACAGCCAUUCAGACGAUAUGCAUGCUUUCCCAGCAAGCUUUGGCUUAAAGGAGAGGCUCUAAGCUAUAUUUCUAAUGUUUCUUUGUUGGAAAUUGUUAGUAAAACUCAUUGGAGGCCAAAUGAAUAUCGUACGGUUUUGAAGGACGACAAGUGUUUAUACCUUGGAAUUGAUGAUUGUAGACAAGAUGUUGGUACAACAGGUAAUAUGGAAGCCCAAAGAGGGUCUCGCAAUCUCUGAAAGAAUAUCUGCUAGGAAUCGCCCAUAUGCAUCCCAGUGUCUCCUUCAAAAUUGUUUAUAUUGAAAGUGAGGAUGACCUACUUUGCACACGUGUGUGCUUCUCCUUCCCCAUUGCCGCUAUUGUCCAAUGGGUUUGGGAUCCAUCUGGGUUCCCUUAAUAAAUUGAAUGCAAUCGAUGGUUCAUUCAAGCUCUCCUGAUACAUCUCAGGUUGUGAUGUUUACACAGUGAACCGAUACAGGCCCAAAUUGAUGGAUAAGAGAUGUGAUAAGUUAUCUUUUCUAUACUUUGUUUCUUAAAAACCACUGUUUAAUUUGCAGGCCCUUCAAUAGAUGUGUAUCCAUUUGUUUUAGUAUAUUUUCCUGAACAAAGAAAACGAAAACCUAAUAUUCGGUUAGCAUUUACUAUAUCGAAUGCUUGUUUUUUACGGUGUUUUUGUUUUCCUUAACCUUCAUAAUGCCAACAUCAAUUCAAGAUUUGCUUCCAAAGGACUAGUACAUAAAUUACUUAAUAACAUAACGAUGAGUUUUGACAGUCUUUUGACAUUGACCAGUGAAGUAGAUCUCAGAUAUAUCCACUGUUUUUGUUGAACCUAAACUGCCCAAGAUCUUCACAUGAUUUGGCUUUGGAGCCUUCAAUGACCUCUGUGGAAUUUAAGAUAUACCUGUGAAUUACGAGAUCUGGAAAAUGAGGUACAGGGCCCAGAGCACUUGAACUUCCUUCCCUGCAGUCAAAAAAACUAAGUGGAGAAUGCACUGUCAGGAGAGAGACUCGUUCUUCACAGAAUAUUCUGUGGGGAAGUGUUUCUAAAAAGCAUGAUGCCGAGUCCAGAUUCCUCUGUCAGAUCGAAAGUUCAAGUCGAUAAAUUGAUGGUUCUCUUGCUCAUGGCACAGUCAGUGUCAACUGGAAAUCCAGAAAUUUUGCAACCCCUUUCAUCUAAUGUUGUGCCUACAGAGGAUGAUUUCCUGGAUAACAAAUUCAGUGCUUCAGCUAGCUUCAGGUAUAAAUUAGACUGCCUGUUAGGUUCAGGAUGGGAGGAUGAGUCUAUUGUAGCUGGCAGAUCAACAGAGGAUGCCUCAUUUAGGGAGGCUCUUGAACUUGAUGACAGUUCAAAUGUGAUGCAUGAGAGAAGGAAACUAUUUAUGCGGAGCACAGAAGCCUGAUACAUGAUGGAUCAUCUUUUCCUAGUGAUGAAGAUAUUAAGUUUGAAAAAAGUAACUACAGAAAUAAACGAAAUCGCCUUGAAGAUGAUUAUAGUUUUGAAGUAGCUGAUGAUGUUAACCAGGUCUAAAAUCAAAGGUCUCCUAGAGGCAAGGGCAAGGAAAUAUAUUUUCAGAACUUCUCCUGGUGCAAAACUCAGAGCAAGGCAUUGCGGAGUCAAAAAUUUGACAGGGCAUAAGCUUCAUAUGAAAAUUUAUACACCUUUACUCCUCUUAUUUCCACCAGGUAUAUGUUUCUAUAGGCAGUGGGACCUGCUAUGUUAAGGUGGAUGACAAUGGAUUUGGUGGAUCUAGUGCUUCACGAGAUGGAUUGGUGCUGAUGGGAGAAAUAUAUGGUAAUCUUUUUGCAAAAUGUUGUACUGGCAUCUUCUUUUCUGUUGUAUUGAUGCUACUGUACAUAAUUUCUUUUGCCUGACAAUUGUGAUGUUCAUAACUUGGAAUGAUUGUUGUAGUCUAUAGGAAUUUUCAUGCAUUACUCAA